UACGGAGGAUCCAAGCGUUAUCCGGAAUCAUUGGGUUUAAAGGGUCCGUAGGCGGCCCCGUAAGUCAGUGGUGAAAUCUCCCGGCUCAACCGGGAAAUUGCCAUUGAUACUGCAGGGCUUGAAUUACUGGGAAGCAACUAGAAUAUGUAGUGUAGCGGUGAAAUGCUUAGAUAUUACAUGGAAUACCGAUUGCGAAGGCAGGUUGCUACCAGUGGAUUGACGCUGAUGGACGAAAGCGUGGGUAGCGAAC
rnacentral:rRNA from 1 species